rnacentral:rRNA from 1 species
UCAGACGGCCAUGGUGGUCUGGUCCUACCCGAUCCCAUUCCGAACUCGGAAGUCAAGCAGACCUACGUUCUGCGCGGUACUGCUCUCUUGAGCGGGAAAUGCAGAAAGCCGUCGCCC